rnacentral:rRNA from 1 species
UACAGAGGUCCCAAGCGUUGUUCGGAUUCACUGGGCGUAAAGGGUGCGUAGGUGGUGAGGUAAGUCGGAUGUGAAAGCUCGGAGCUCAACUCCGAAAUGGCAUUGGAAACUACCUUGCUCGAGGGUUGGAGGGGGGACUGGAAUACUUGGUGUAGCAGUGAAAUGCGUAGAUAUCAAGUGGAACACCAGUGGCGAAGGCGAGUCCCUGGCCCGAUACUGACGCUGAGGCACGAAAGCGUGGGGAGCGAUCCGG